rnacentral:rRNA from 1 species
AUUGAACGCUGGCGGCAGGCCUAACACAUGCAAGUCGAACGAGUGGCGGACGGGGGAGUAAUGUCUGGGAAACUGCCUGUUGGAGGGGGAUAACUACUGGAAACGGUAGCUAAUACCGCAUACCAUCGGAUGUGCCCAGAUGGGAUUAGCUAGUAGGUGGGGUAAAGGCUCACCUAGGCGACGAUCCCUAGCUGGUCUGAGAGGAGGACCAGCCACACUGGAACGGAGACCCGGUCCAGACGCCUACGGGAGGCAGCAGAGGGGAAUAUUGCACAAGGGGCGCAAGCCUGAUGCAGCCAUGCCGAGUGGAGGAAGAGGGCCUUCGGGUUGUAAAGUACUUUCGGCGGGGAGGCGUUACCCGCAGAAGAAGCAACGGCUAACUCCGUGCCAGCAGCCGCGGUAAUUC